AUGGCGUCGUCCCCCGCGCGCCCCGCCGCCGCGUCCGUCUCCGGCGCCUUCGGCCUCCCGCCCGACGCCCGCUGCUCCUUCGACCAGACGCGCCGCCGCGCCGAGGAUUCGCAGGACAAGAGGCAGCUGGUGCGGACGUUCGUCAACGUGUACGGCCAGGAGGGCUACCCCAAGGAGGCCGUCAUGGCGGCCGUCGAGGAGUGCAUGAGGAAGCAGGCCGAGGGCCUGCUGCAUUCGCUCGAGGGCAUCGGCGGGAGGCUCUCGCAGCUCGAGCUCUACUGCUACAAGCUCGAGCGCUCCAUCGGGGAGCUGCGCAGCGACGUCAUGGACUAUCACAGCGAGGGCACCGUCAACUUCCGCUGCCUCGACAAGAAUCUCAGACAGGUUCAGAAAGCUGUGCAGAUGCUUCAGGAUAAGCAUGAGCCGCAGCAACUGGCCAAACUUCAAAUAGCGCAUGAAUUCCCUGCUAGAACAAAUGAAGCCACUGCCUUGUCGAUGCUCGCUGCAAGGGAAAAUGUCAAUGAUCAGAGCACACAAUUCGCCAACCCUGAGGUCUCUUUUGUGCCAAUUCACCAAGUUAAUGCGAUGCAGUCUCCUGCUAUGCCGAACCAAAGUAGUGGUGGUUAUAUUCUGCAGCAACUUGUGCCCGUCUCUUUGAGCACACAACAUGAUCAGCAACAUCCGAGCCAAGCUGCGGUGUACUAUAUGCAAAGCCAAAAUCAAGUGAACUGCGCAGAUAACAAACCAUCCGAGUCUUUUGUUCAGGUUAUGCAGCCGCAUGUCCAGAACUCUGAAGCCAGGGUUGCAGUUGAGCUACCUCAGAAAUCUAGUCAGCCAACGGAAAUGUACCCUCCAAUGCAGCAUCAUAUGCUACAAAUGCCUGCUCAGCAUCACGAGUCACAGGCAUGGCGAUCACAGCCCCCUGUCGCGCAACAGCAGCACUACAGUGUUCAGCAAGUCCCACCGCAGAUGGUUCAACAGAAAACAUCUUCUCCUCAUGCUCAAAGUACUCCUCAAGUCACACUCAUGUAUCCUCAAUACUCUUCUCAGAAGCCUGCCAAUGCUACCACUGAGCCACUUCCGAGAAGUUUGGUUGGGCAGUCUCCAUACUCUUCACCCCAGCAGAAGCAUCAUGAAGUCAUGCCUUCGUUUUAUGGCCAAGGCAACACAAUUUUGCUUCCCACGGCAGAGCAUAAUAUCCAACAUCAACAGCCACAGCAACUGCAAACACAGAGCCAGGCCUCAUGCCCACCUCAACCAAGCAAGCCCAGCCACUGCAGCGUUGCAUCAUAUGCUGUUCAGGGUAGUGGCCGAGCCUACACUGCCACAUAUAAGAAUCCUGCCGAGAGUCCUGCAACUGUUGUUGCUGUUCUGCCCCAGCAUUCGGCAACAGCUCCUAUGGCGUUUCAUCAUUUGGGGCCACAAAUCUUGCAUAAGAAUCCAUAUGGAAGUAUGUUCGAAACGGCCAGUGUAGUAGGGUAUCCACAUGAUCUAGUUGGGAGUAUGACGCUCCCAGUGGUGACUGCGGACUCCAGUAACAUGGUUGAUAAGCUCAAUGCUGGUAGCAAUGUUACAUCCCCGCGAGACUGGCCUGCAUAG
rnacentral:rRNA from 1 species